GGGGGUCACGGUUACGCUCACUGACUCACUCAUUCAUCUUUGAAGAAUGGCUCCACUACUGGUAUCCUUUCAGGAAGAAACGCCUCUGGCAGAGUGGCAUCGGGGCUGGCUCCUUUGCAUCAAUCACCAUCUUUUGUAUUUAACCAUGAAAAUAUUCUAUUUCCUUUGCGCUUGCGCAGUUGUGUCCGCCGCCCUAAACCCCGGUGUUACCAAAGAACAGCUGCACGACUGUUGCAAUCAGUCCAAUCUUCAUAACUGCUGACGUCGAGACAGUCCGGAUUUAUCCUCCCAUUAAAAAGUUUCUCCCCAAGUUUCUAAAGACUCAAAGUGCUACUCGUAGUUCCUUUUUCUUUAAAUUCA